AGCCCAGAGCCUGAAUCAGUGUGUGUGUUAGUGGAAGCGUCUGGAAAGGCGCGCGAUACAGGGUGACAGCCCCGUACACAAAAAUGCACAUGCUGUGAGCUCGAUGAGUAGGGCGGGACACGUGGUAUCCUGUCUGAAUAUGGGGGGACCAUCCUCCAAGGCUAAAUACUCCUGACUGACCGAUAGUGAACCAGUACCGUGAGGGAAAGGCGAAAAGAACCCCGGCGAGGGGAGUGAAAAAGAACCUGAAACCGUGUACGUACAAGCAGUGGGAGCACGCUUAGGCGUGUGACUGCGUACCUUUUGUAUAAUGGGUCAGCGACUUAUAUUCUGUAGCAAGGUUAACCGAAUAGGGGAGCCGAAGGGAAACCGAGUCUUAACUGGGCGUUAAGUUGCAGGGUAUAGACCCGAAACCCGGUGAUCUAGCCAUGGGCAGGUUGAAGGUUGGGUAACACUAACUGGAGGACCGAACCGACUAAUGUUGAAAAAUUAGCGGAUGACUUGUGGCUGGGGGUGAAAGGCCAAUCAAACCGGGAGAUAGCUGGUUCUCCCCGAAAGCUAUUUAGGUAGCGCCUCGUGAAUUCAUCUCCGGGGGUAGAGCACUGUUUCGGCAAGGGGGUCAUCCCGACUUACCAACCCGAUGCAAACUGCGAAUACCGGAGAAUGUUAUCACGGGAGACACACGGCGGGUGCUAACGUCCGUCGUGAAGAGGGAAACAACCCAGACCGCCAGCUAAGGUCCCAAAGUCAUGGUUAAGUGGGAAACGAUGUGGGAAGGCCCAGACAGCCAGGAUGUUGGCUUAGAAGCAGCCAUCAUUUAAAGAAAGCGUAAUAGCUCACUGGUCGAGUCGGCCUGCGCGGAAGAUGUAACGGGGCUAAACCAUGCACCGAAGCUGCGGCAGCGACGCUUAUGCGUUGUUGGGUAGGGGAGCGUUCUGUAAGCCUGCGAAGGUGUGCUGUGAGGCAUGCUGGAGGUAUCAGAAGUGCGAAUGCUGACAUAAGUAACGAUAAAGCGGGUGAAAAGCCCGCUCGCCGGAAGACCAAGGGUUCCUGUCCAACGUUAAUCGGGGCAGGGUGAGUCGACCCCUAAGGCGAGGCCGAAAGGCGUAGUCGAUGGGAAACAGGUUAAUAUUCCUGUACUUGGUGUUACUGCGAAGGGGGGACGGAGAAGGCUAUGUUGGCCGGGCGACGGUUGUCCCGGUUUAAGCGUGUAGGCUGGUUUUCCAGGCAAAUCCGGAAAAUCAAGGCUGAGGCGUGAUGACGAGGCACUACGGUGCUGAAGCAACAAAUGCCCUGCUUCCAGGAAAAGCCUCUAAGCAUCAGGUAACAUCAAAUCGUACCCCAAACCGACACAGGUGGUCAGGUAGAGAAUACCAAGGCGCUUGAGAGAACUCGGGUGAAGGAACUAGGCAAAAUGGUGCCGUAACUUCGGGAGAAGGCACGCUGAUAUGUAGGUGAAGUCCCUCGCGGAUGGAGCUGAAAUCAGUCGAAGAUACCAGCUGGCUGCAACUGUUUAUUAAAAACACAGCACUGUGCAAACACGAAAGUGGACGUAUACGGUGUGACGCCUGCCCGGUGCCGGAAGGUUAAUUGAUGGGGUCAGCGCAAGCGAAGCUCUUGAUCGAAGCCCCGGUAAACGGCGGCCGUAACUAUAACGGUCCUAAGGUAGCGAAAUUCCUUGUCGGGUAAGUUCCGACCUGCACGAAUGGCGUAAUGAUGGCCAGGCUGUCUCCACCCGAGACUCAGUGAAAUUGAACUCGCUGUGAAGAUGCAGUGUACCCGCGGCAAGACGGAAAGACCCCGUGAACCUUUACUAUAGCUUGACACUGAACAUUGAGCCUUGAUGUGUAGGAUAGGUGGGAGGCUUUGAAGUGUGGACGCCAGUCUGCAUGGAGCCGACCUUGAAAUACCACCCUUUAAUGUUUGAUGUUCUAACGUUGACCCGUAAUCCGGGUUGCGGACAGUGUCUGGUGGGUAGUUUGACUGGGGCGGUCUCCUCCUAAAGAGUAACGGAGGAGCACGAAGGUUGGCUAAUCCUGGUCGGACAUCAGGAGGUUAGUGCAAUGGCAUAAGCCAGCUUGACUGCGAGCGUGACGGCGCGAGCAGGUGCGAAAGCAGGUCAUAGUGAUCCGGUGGUUCUGAAUGGAAGGGCCAUCGCUCAACGGAUAAAAGGUACUCCGGGGAUAACAGGCUGAUACCGCCCAAGAGUUCAUAUCGACGGCGGUGUUUGGCACCUCGAUGUCGGCUCAUCACAUCCUGGGGCUGAAGUAGGUCCCAAGGGUAUGGCUGUUCGCCAUUUAAAGUGGUACGCGAGCUGGGUUUAGAACGUCGUGAGACAGUUCGGUCCCUAUCUGCCGUGGGCGCUGGAGAAUUGAGGGGGGCUGCUCCUAGUACGAGAGGACCGGAGUGGACGCAUCACUGGUGUUCGGGUUGUCAUGCCAAUGGCACUGCCCGGUAGCUAAAUGCGGAAGAGAUAAGUGCUGAAAGCAUCUAAGCACGAAACUUGCCCCGAGAUGAGUUCUCCCUGACUCCUUGAGAGUCCUGAAGGAACGUUGAAGACGACGACGUUGAUAGGCCGGGUGUGUAAGC
rnacentral:rRNA from 1 species